rnacentral:rRNA from 1 species
AGUGAACGCUGGCGGUAGGCCUAACACAUGCAAGUCGAACGGCAGCACAGUAAGAGUUUUCUCUUACGGGUGGCGAGUGGCGGACGGGUGAGGAAUACAUCGGAAUCUACUUUUUCGUGGGGGAUAACGUAGGGAAACUGACGCUAAUACCUCAUACGACCUACGGCUUAAAUCAGUGGAUCUUCGGACCUUUCGCGUCAGUAUGAGCUGAUGUCGCAUUAGCUAGUUGGCGUGGUAAAGGCCCACCAAGGCGACGAUCCGUAGCUGAUCUGAGAGGAUGAUCGGCCACACUGGAACUGAGACACGGUCCAGACUCCUACGGGAGGCAGCAGUAGGGAAUAUUCGACAAUGGGCGCAAGCCUGACCGAGCAAUGCCGCGUGAGUGAAGAAGGCCUUCGGAUUGUAAAGCCCUUUUAUUGGGAAAGAAAAAAAGCAUGUUAAUACACGGAUGUCCUGACGGUACCCAAAGAGAAAGCACCGGCUAACUUCGUG